AUGGCCGGGAAAGGGCCGGUGGUUCCCAAGUUCGGGUCGUGGGACGCCGAGAACAUCGGCUACACCGUCUUCUUCGAGAAGGUGCGCGAGAACAAGGCCGCGCCCGUGCCGGGCACGGCGGCGCCAGCGCCCAGGGGGCACGACGACCAAGAGUUCGACCCCUACGAGUACUACGAGAACCUCAGCCGGAACGUGCCCUCGCGCCCGCCCAGCUCGCACGGCCACGGCCACGCGGCCCCGGCGCAGCACUAUGACCACCUCGGCGGUAACGUGCCCUCGAGGCCGCCGAGCUCGCACGGCCACGGACACCCCUCGCCGGCGCAGCACUACCCCGCGCAGCACGGCCACGGGGGCUACCACCGGCGGAACGGGAGCAAUGGCAGCAGCGCCGCGUCCGAGGUCAGCAGCCGCGCCAGCAAGUUCUCGCCGCCCAGGCCGUACCAGCCGCGCUACGGCAACAGCGGCGGCAGCUACCACCAGCCCCAGCAGCAGCAGCAGGUCGCCGGCGCGUACGCCGCCCCGGUGCCGAGGCACCACCAGCAAGCGGCGCCAGCGCCGAGGGUCACCGCGUCCCCGCCGGCUAACGAGCGGCGCCCGGGCCAGGGCGUGCCACCGCAGGCCCGUGCCGCCAAGGCCCCGUCGGCCGUGCCCAAGUUCGGCGUGUGGGACGAGCAGAACGCGAACGCGGCGGCGCAGGGCUUCACGGUGCAGUUCGAGAAGGUGAAGCGGCACCGGGAGGUCGCCAAGGCCGCCGCGCCGGACGUGCCGCCGGUCGCGAAGCGGCAGCUCUCGCCGGACCGGGUGGUGCCCACGUGGGGCCACCCGCGAAGGAAGCCCAAGAAAUCCUUCCUGUCGAAGGUCUACGGGUGCCUGUUCCCAGUGGUCAGACAGUGA
rnacentral:rRNA from 1 species